rnacentral:rRNA from 1 species
UGGGGAAUAUUGGACAAUGGGCGCAAGCCUGAUCCAGCAAUGCCGCGUGAGUGAUGAAGGCCCUAGGGUUGUAAAGCUCUUUUACCCGGGAAGAUAAUGACUGUACCGGGAGAAUAAGCCCCGGCUAACUCCGUGCCAGCAGCCGCGGUAAUACGGAGGGGGCUAGCGUUGUUCGGAAUUACUGGGCGUAAAGCGCACGUAGGCGGCUUUGUAAGUUAGAGGUGAAAGCCCGGGGCUCAACCCCGGAA